rnacentral:rRNA from 1 species
AUUGAACGCUGGCGGCAGGCCUAACACAUGCAAGUCGAACGAGUGGCGGACGGGUGAGUAAUGUCUGGGAAACUGCCUGAUGGAGGGGGAUAACUACUGGAAACGGUACCUAAUACCGCAUACCAUCGGAUGUGCCCAGAUGGGCUUAGCUAGUAGGUGGGGUAAAGGCUCACCUGGGCGACGAUCCCUAGCUGGUCUGAGAGGAUGACCAGCCAAACGGGAACGGAGACGCGGUCCAGGGUCCUACGGUAGGCAGCAGUGGGAAAUAGUGCACAAUGGGCGCGAGCCUGAUGCAGCCAUGCCGCGUGUAUGAAGGAGGCCUUCGGGUUGUAAAGUACUUUCAGCGGGGGGGCGUUACCCGCAGAAGAAGCACCGGCUAACUCCGUGCCAGCAGCCGCGGUAAUAC